ncrna:unclassified sequences DTF3800-V RNA
UGGAGCUGGUAAUAAUAUACUAUUUAGUGCCUAGAUGCUCCUGGAUGGUACAUCCAGAAUUGAGUCUAGGAACAUCACUACUAGCACUACCGCUCUA